rnacentral:misc_RNA from 1 species
AUCUGUGCGUGCAAGUGUUGUUUGGAUCGUCCCUGCCGGCUGGCUCCGUGCCCGUCCACCGAACGGCCGGCAGGCGAUCCGCGUCGGUCGCGCGAGGUGGUGUUAUGUACGGUUACCCAGAGGCCGGUUCUUGUGCUGCCUACCCCUUCAGGGGAAGCACGGGCCACUUGAUGUAUAAGCCUCCAUCCGGCGCCCUCCAACGGGCGCCGGAGGACAGCGGAGCACCCCCCGCGUUCCACCGAGCCCUCGUCGGUCGCGUGGCCCGCGGGGACGUGCGAUGCUCUCGGACCCAGCGCACGCCGCGGGGCGAGGACUCACGUCCCAGCCCCAAGAGAAGCUUCGACCCAACGAAUGACGGCCCGUUCCGGCCCCCGUCCGCCCCGGCGGCGCGGGGGCGCGGCGCGGCGUCUCGGAGGAAUGCUACCUGGUUGAUCCUGCCAGUAGUCAUAUGCUUGUCUCAAAGAUUAAAACAAUGCAUGUGGCGGAUCAACCAGGUAG